GGAGGCACGAGAGCAUGAAUGGUACGGGACAUUCGGGUUCGAUUCCGGAGAGGGAGCCUGAGAAACGGCUACCACAUCUAAGGAAGGCAGCAGGCGCGCAAAUUACCCAAUCCUAAUACAGGGAGGUAGUGACAAGAAAUAACAAUACAGGACUUUUUGGUUUUGUAAUUGGAAUGAGUUAAGUAUAAACCCCUUUACAAGUAUCAAUUGGAGGGCAAGUCUGGUGCCAGCAGCCGCGGUAAUUCCAGCUCCAAUAGCGUAUAUUAAAGUUGUUGCAGUUAAAAAGCUCGUAGUUGGAUUUCUGUUAAUAAUUUAUAUAAAAUAUUUUGAUGAAUAUUUAUAUAAUAUUAACAUAAUUCAUAUUACUAUAUAUUUUAGUAUAUGAAAUUUUACUUUGAGAAAAUUAGAGUGCUUAAAGCAGGCAUAUGCCUUGAAUACUCCAGCAUGGAAUAAUAUUAAAGAUUUUUAUCUUUCUUAUUGGUUCUAAGAUAAGAAUAAUGAUUAAUAGGGACAGUUGGGGGCAUUUGUAUUUAACAGUCAGAGGUGAUUUUCUUUAAAA
rnacentral:rRNA from 1 species